rnacentral:lncRNA from 1 species
CGGAGCUGCUCUGGAUCAAUAUGGACCUCCAUAGAUGGUGGAGCUAAGGAGGAAGGUCCGGCAGAGGUGGUAGGAGCAGGAGGAGUGGAUGGAAGGUCUGAAAAGUCUGGGUAGUCUGAAUCUGGCUCAGGACUGGGUGAUGGUCUGGUGGUCUGAGCAGUGAGAGUGGACUUCCUAACCCAGAUCCCUUCUCUCUUUCGAAAUUCCAUCCUGUGCAUGGUCCCCGUACCCAAGCGAUCUGUCCAUCGCAGUGCACGAGAGGGUUCCCUCUCAGAAAUGGGAAUCUCGUACUGCCUAAAGAGAAGAGUAAAAAUCAUGCCGUAUGGGAGGGUGAGCCUAGGUCUAUCU